rnacentral:rRNA from 1 species
UCGGUUCGGAAUAGCCCCGGGAAACUGGGUGUAAUACCGAAUACGUCCUUAGGGAGAAAGAUUUAUCGCCGAAAGAUUGGCCCGCGUUAGAUUAGAUAGUUGGUGAGGUAACGGCUCACCAAGUCGACGAUCUAUAGCUGGUUUGAGAGGAUGAUCAGCCACACUGGGACUGAGACACGGCCCAGACUCCUACGGGAGGCAGCAGUGAGGAAUCUUGGACAAUGGGCGCAAGUGAUCCAGCCAUGCCGCGUGAAUGAUGAAGGCCUUAGGGUUGUAAAAUUCUUUCAGCAGGGAAGAUAAUGACGGUACCUGCAAAAGAAGCCCCGGCUAACUCCGUGCCAGCAGCCGCGGUAAUACGGAGGGGGCUAGCGUUGUUCGGAAUUACUGGGCGUAAAGCGCUCGUAGGCGGAUUGGUCAGUCAGAGGUGAAAGCCCAGGGCUCAACCUUGGAAUUGCCUUUGAUACUGCCAGUCUUGAGUUCAGGAGAGGUAA